GGAGAGGUGGCCGAGUGGCUAAAGGCGGCGGUUUGCUAAACCGUUAUAUAAUUAAAUUAUAUCGAGGGUUCGAAUCCCUCUCUCUCCG
rnacentral:tRNA from 1 species